AGCAGCCGCGGUAAUUCCAGCUCCAAUAGCGUAUAUUAAAGUUGUUGCAGUUAAAAAGCUCGUAGUUGAAUUUCGGGAUUGGCGCAUCGGUCGUGCCUCACGGGGUAUGAACUGGUGCAGUCAAUUUCUCACCUUCUGGAGAACCGCGAUGUCCUUAAUUGGAUGCCGCGGGGAACCAGGACCUUUACUUUGAAAAAAUUAGAGUGUUUAAAGCAGGCAUUUUUGCUUGAAUACAUUAGCAUGGAAUAAUAAAAUAGAACGGCAUGGUUCUAUUUUGUUGGUUUCUAGGACCACCGUAAUGAUUAAUAGGGAUAGUUGGGGGCAUUAGUAUUCAAUUGUCAGAGGUGAAAUUCUUGGAUUUAUUGAAGACUAACUACUGCGAAAGCAUUUGCCAAGGAUGUUUUCAUUAAUCAAGAACGAAAGUUAGGGGAUCGAAGACGAUCAGAUACC
rnacentral:rRNA from 1 species